CCUACGGGUGGCUGCAGUGGGGAAUAUUGGACAAUGGGCGAAAGCCUGAUCCAGCCAUGCCGCGUGUGUGAAGAAGGCCUUCGGGUUGUAAAGCACUUUCAGUGGGGAAGAAAGCCUUGGGGCUAAUACCCUCGAGGAAGGACAUCACCCACAGAAGAAGCACCGGCUAACUCCGUGCCAGCAGCCGCGGUAAUACGGAGGGUGCGAGCGUUAAUCGGAAUUACUGGGCGUAAAGCGCGCGUAGGCGGUCUGAUAAGCCGGUUGUGAAAGCCCCGGGCUCAACCUGGGAACGGCAUCCGGAACUGUCAGGCUAGAGUGCAGGAGAGGAAGGUAGAAUUCCCGGUGUAGCGGUGAAAUGCGUAGAGAUCGGGAGGAAUACCAGUGGCGAAGGCGGCCUUCUGGACCGACACUGACGCUGAGGUGCGAAAGCGUGGGUAGCAAACAGGAUUAGAUACCCGGGUAGUC
rnacentral:rRNA from 1 species